rnacentral:tRNA from 13 species
CGCCGAAACACCGGAUCGAACCAGAGACCUUUAGAUGUACAGUCUAACGCUCUCCCAACUGAGCUAUAUCGGC